rnacentral:misc_RNA from 1 species
AAGUCGUAACAAGGUUUCCGUAGGUGAACCUGCGGAAGGAUCAUUAAUGAAUUUUUAGGGCGCUCUUUUUAGAGGUCCGACCAAUUUCAUUUCCACACACCGUGAACACACUUCAUUUUUACACACAAUUUAAAAACACACAAGUCUAUAAGAAUGUAUAAAGUCUCUUAAUUGAGCAUAAAGUUAUAAUACAACUUUCGGCAACGGAUCUCUUGGCUCUC